UCCUACGGGGGGCAGCAGUUAGGAAUAUUCGUCAAUGGGGGAAACCCUGAACGGGCAAUGCCGCGUGAACGAUGACGGUCCUCUGGAUUGUAAAGUUCUGUUGUUUGGGAAGAACGGCUCUAAUAGGAAAUGAUUAGAGAUUGACUGUACCAUUCAAGAAAGCCACGGCUAACUACGUGCCAGCAGCCGCGGUAAUACGUAGGUGGCAAGCGUUGUCCGGAUUUAUUGGGCGUAAAGCGAGUGCAGUCGGUUCAAUAAGUCU
rnacentral:rRNA from 1 species